rnacentral:misc_RNA from 1 species
GCAGAAUACUGCCAAUGGGAAGAUAGAAGUCAAGCCAACCAUUCUUGAUGUUCUUCCCAAAUCUGCUUCUGGCACACCUUAUAUCUCUGGACCUAACAGUGUCUGUGGCAGUGAAAGGACUGCUAAUGGAGAUGCCUUAAUUGAGAGAGACAAAUCCAUUAAAUCUGCACAAUGUUGCCUUCCAAGCUUGAUUUCUCGAUGUAGUGCCGGUGAGAGGAAGAAGAAGAUGAGUCCAGCUCCGGCUAUUGCUGUAAAUGAUAAAGCCUAAUUUUUGCUAUCUUUAAUGCAAUAUAAAUGGAAAAUGCUAGGAUUUCAAUCCCCCCGAGGUCAUAAGAUAUAUGCAUCCAACCUCACUACAAUCGGAUUGUGCAAGUACAAUGGAACUUUUCUUAUGUGGAUUGAGGGCAUAUGUAAAGCUACAAUGGUAGAGAUGUAUAAUGUCAAACGCCAGGAAUUUUCUUUGUAUCUCAAGGUGAAGUUACCUCCUGAAGUUCCUAGAUUUUGUUUAGCUCUAGAGGGAAAUUGAUUUCCGAAGAUAUUUUCUGCAAUAAGAGAAGAUCAUAAAUUGCCCUUGUAAUGAUACCUAAGUUAUGGAGGAAAAUGUACUAAAUUUGCAUUCUCCUUUUUUUGUUAAACGUAAUUAAGG